rnacentral:rRNA from 1 species
UUAACACAUGCAAGUCGAACGAUGAUGCCCAGCUUGCUGNGCGAAUGAGUGGCGAACGGGUGAGUAACACGUGAGUGAUCUGCCCUGCACUUCGGGAUAAGCCUGGGAAACUGGGUCUAAUACCGGAUAUGACCACAGGAUGCAUGUGUUGUGGUGGAAAGGUUGACUGGUGCAGGAUGAGCCCGCGGCCUAUCAGCUUGUUGGUGGGGUAAUGGCCUACCAAGGCGACGACGGAUAGCCGGCCUGAGAGGGCGACCGGCCACACUGGGACUGAGACACGGCCCAGACUCCUACGGGAGGCAGCAGUGGGGAAUAUUGCACAAUGGGCGAAAGCCUGAUGCAGCGACGCCGCGUGAGGGAUGACGGCCUUCGGGUUGUAAACCUCUUUCAGCAGGGACGAAGCGCAAGUGACUGUACCUGCAGAAGAAGCACCGGCUAACUACGUGCCAGCAGCCGCGGUAAUACGUAGGGUGCGAGCGUUGUCCGGAAUUACUGGGCGUAAAGAGUUCGUAGGCGGUUUGUCGCGUCGUGUGUGAAAUCCCGCAGCUCAACUGCGGGCUUGCAGGCGAUACGGGCAGACUUGAGUA